AGAUUGAACGCUGGCGGCAGGCCUAACACAUGCAAGUCGAGCGGAAACGACCCUAGCUUGCUAGGAGGCGUCGAGCGGCGGACGGGUGAGUACUGCAUAGGAAUCUGCCCGGUAGUGGGGGAUAACCUGGGGAAACUCAGGCUAAUACCGCAUACGUCCUACGGGAGAAAGGGGGCCUUGGCUCCCGCUAUCGGACGAGCCUAUGCCGGAUUAGCUGGUUGGUGAGGUAAUGGCUCACCAAGGCGACGAUCCGUAGCUGGUCUGAGAGGAUGAUCAGCCACAUCGGGACUGAGACACGGCCCGAACUCCUACGGGAGGCAGCAGUGGGGAAUAUUGGACAAUGGGGGCAACCCUGAUCCAGCCAUGCCGCGUGUGUGAAGAAGGCCCUCGGGUUGUAAAGCACUUUCAGUGAGGAAGAACGCCUGGCGGUUAAUACCCGCCAGGAAAGACAUCACUCACAGAAGAAGCACCGGCUAACUCCGUGCCAGCAGCCGCGGUAAUACGGAGGGUGCAAGCGUUAAUCGGAAUUACUGGGCGUAAAGCGCGCGUAGGUGGCUUGAUAAGCCGGUUGUGAAAGCCCCGGGCUCAACCUGGGAACGGCAUCCGGAACUGUCAGGCUAGAGUGCAGGAGAGGAAGGUAGAAUUCCCGGCGUAGCGGUGAAAUGCGUAGAGAUCGGGAGGAAUACCAGUGGCGAAGGCGGUCUUCUGGACUGACACUGACACUGAGGUGCGAAAGCGUGGGUAGCAAACAGGAUUAGAUACCCUGGUAGUCCACGCCGUAAACGAUGUCGACUAGCCGUUGGGCUCCUUGAGAGCCUUGUGGCGGAGUUAACGCAUUAAGUCGACCGCCUGGGGAGUACGGCCGCAAGGUUAAAACUCAAAUGAAUUGACGGGGGCCCGCACAAGCGGUGGAGCAUGUGGUUUAAUUCGAUGCAACGCGAAGAACCUUACCUACCCUCGACAUCCUGCGAAUCGGGUAGAGAUACCUGAGUGCCUUCGGGAGCGCAGAGACAGGUGCUGCAUGGCUGUCGUCAGCUCGUGUUGUGAAAUGUUGGGUUAAGUUCCGUAACGAGCGCAACCCUUGUCCUUAUUUGCCAGCGAUUCGGUCGGGAACUCUAAGGAGACUGCCGGUGACAAACCGGAGGAAGGUGGGGACGACGUCAAGUCAUCAUGGCCCUUACGGGUAGGGCUACACACGUGCUACAAUGGCCGGUACAAAGGGCGGCGAGCUCGCGAGAGUCAGCAAAUCCCUUAAAGCCGGUCUCAGUCCGGAUCGGAGUCUGCAACUCGACUCCGUGAAGUCGGAAUCGCUAGUAAUCGUGGACCAGAAUGCCACGGUGAAUACGUUCCCGGGCCUUGUACACACCGCCCGUCACACCAUGGGAGUGGCCUGCACCAGAAGUGGUUAGCCUAACGCAAGAGGGCGAUUACCACGGUGUGGUUCAU
rnacentral:rRNA from 1 species